UGCUUUUCGCUUUUCUUUUUUUCUUUCUUUUCUUUCUUUUUGCUUCUUUGCAAA
rnacentral:ribozyme from 11 species